rnacentral:lncRNA from 1 species
GCCUUUUAGCCUCCUCGUCUAAGCCUGCGUGCGGCGCGUAAGCGCUGAUGACGUUGAGGACUACACCCCCAAUAACCAACUUAAUAGACAUUAACCUGUCAUUCACUCGCCUAACCUCGACCACGGACUCUCUUAGGUCCCUAUCAACCAAGAUGCCCAUUCCAUUCUUACCCCUCUCGAGCCCAGAGUACCAUAGCUUAAACCCAUCAGCAUCC